AAACAAACUAAUAAGUUGGGUCACGAAGGAGCGUUACGUUGUGUGGAUGAAACGGUUAUUGUCACGUUGCCUAAACUGAUCGGGACUUUAUCGACUAGCGCCAAGACUUUCGCCGUCAAUAUUCCUGCCGUACCAUCAGCUGACUCGGAAUCUUUCUUGAAAAAACUGUACAUCCGGUUUAACUGUCACACUGAAAAGCGUUUAACGCAGAAACGAUCGUUGACGAAAAUGAGAGAAAACUGACCGAAACAAAAACUGUGGCGUACCCAUCAGGAACAAAAGGGGGAAAACGAAUGAAAAAUUGUAUAAUUCACUUGUACUUUAUUUGACAUCGUAUCUACAACAUUUUCUCGACGAAAACAUUAUCAAGCUGCGCGAUAGUAAUCUAAAGUAAAAUCAGUUUGUUGCAUAUUUUCCAGGUUUCGUUUAUUGUUUUCUCUGUAACGCUAUUAUUAUCCAUUAUUUAUUGUAAUCGUAAUAACUACUAUUUUUAUUCGCUCCACAUCAUUUCUCGUCGAUAUUAACAAAGUGACUAGGUAUUGAAGGCGCAGCCCGAAUAACGUGGAGGAUCAGAGUGUCGAAGAUUUAGGAAAAUAAAAACGAGACCCCUCGAUAAAAUAGAUUCCAUUCCAUCGAAUGUAACGGAAACGAUAAUUAUGUAGGCACAUCGUUGGUAUUUCGGUUAUCGAUACAUCGUAUUCGCUCUUAUAAACAUUUUCCAUUAUUUCCUCAGCUUUUCUCUUUUGUUUUUUCUUCACCCAUACAAUCACGCGCACGCAUUCGCCGGGGCGUUUACGAUCAAACAAAAAAUAUCAAUUAUGAUUUAUCUAUAAAAAAACAGAGAUGCGGAAAUGGGAUUGUGACCCAAGAAUUUUCAGAUAAAACCGGGCACGCGUUGAGUGAUUAUUGUCGCCGAGGUUCAAUUUUUUCAAUGUUUUUAGCCCUAUUCAUUCGAACGAUAUGAAAAAAAAAUAAUAAUAAUAAUAAUAAUAAAAUUUUGAUAUUGUAGGAACCGAGAAGGACUCGGAUUCGUGUAGGAAUUUUAUACGAUUUGAAAAAAUGUUUUCCAUUGAAAAAAAGAAAAAUAAAGAAAAAAAAAUAAAUAAAUAAAAUUUCAUCAGAUUGAAAAAA